rnacentral:rRNA from 1 species
CGCGCAGGCGGUCCUUCAAGUCAGGGGUGAAAGCCCAGGGCUCAACCCUGGAAUGGCCUUUGAGACUAGAGGACUUGGGUACGGGAGAGGUGAGUGGAAUUCCGAGUGUAGAGGUGAAAUUCGUAGAUAUUCGGAAGAACACCAGUGGCGAAGGCGGCUCACUGGCCCGUUACCGACGCUCAGGCGCGACAGCGUGGGGAGCAAACA